GCUUAGGGACCCCGCAGCUGUAUCACGUAUUUCGCAGACAAUUAGCAGAAGACAAAUAUUGUGCAAAUAUUGCUGUCAACUGUCCAUUUCGUAUUACGGACUUACAACAAAAAAGCAGAUCGCGGACCAUCACUAGUGCUGCCUCUACAGAGCGAUUUGUGAAACUUUAGUGCAUUCUUUUCCAUACAACUAACAACAACUGGCUUAAAGUCGGUAUUACGGAUGCUUUUGUCUGCCACACAACAGCAGAUAAUUAGCAAUUUCGUUUGUCAAAUUUGCGACACCUUUUGUAUCUGGUGCUGAAUUGUUGCUAACUAUCUGCAAGUGUAAAAUUUGUAAAAUUAAAUUAUUUUAACUUGAUUUAGGUAUGUACUAUGGACAGAGCUCAAAUAAUAAAUGGGGCUUUGGAGUCUAAGGAAAUUAGGUCGGAUACAUACGAAUCAGUGCGUUUGCGACGCUGUCUUCGUGAUCAAGCCUGACCCCUUAAUCUAUCGGAAAGUUUGUUCAGAACACAUUACAGAAUUUCGAAACAUCAAUAUUUACAAUUGUGCUCUGAAUUAAAGCUGUUAAUAACCUAGAUCAUCAAGACGAACAAGAAUAGAAAGCAAAAUGCAAGGUGUUAACAGCAUUGCAAAAUUUCAUACCAGAAACCUGUGGGAAUGAGCUUUUUGCAUUUUGAGUUAAACUGUAGUAAAUUCAAUGCCAUUAGGGAAGUGGCUAUGGCAUUAAACAAUCUUCCAGUUUUAUUGAAACUUUUAAAGUUUCUGCAAACCGUACAAUGGGUCACAAGUUAUUAUAAAUGGGUUUUACAAUAAAUUUGGCUUUCCUGGGGUUUCGGGAUCUAUAGAUGGCACUCAUUUGCACUUAUCAGAUCUUCUGUAUAUGAAGAAAGGUUUUAGAACUGCAAGCAUUAUCAUUUCAAGAAUGUGCAAAUAAUCUGUGAUAGUGAUCCAUUUUAAGUAUUGAUGCAACAUUUCAUGAUACAUUUGUCUGGCUUAUCACAACUGAAUAUGCCUAUGCAGGACCUGCACCAUAAUAGUAAAAAAGUUUGGUUUUUAGGCAAGUAAAACAUCAUGAGCUCUGUCUCAGUAACCUGACUACAAAAUAAUACUCAAUCUAAAGGUAUAUUUAAAACUGGGAAAGCCGUUAAUAUAUAGUACUAUAGUAAUGUUUAUUGUCAUACCAGGAACACUGUUGACCAUUGUGAGUAUUGAAAGCCAGUUGGAGAUGCUUGUUGGUACAUAGAGUACUGCAUUAUGAUCAUCAUAUGAUGGCCAAGACCAUAAUUGUUAGCUUGUAUUGCAUAACAUGGCAAACACACAUGGGUUUCCAGUGCCCCAACUCUCUGACGAAGAUGCUGAAAUUGAUGUUUCUUAUCAAAUUCAUAACAUUGUAUUUUUUGGGAGAGAAGAGGAAACACAGCACAUAGCACCAUGUCAAUAUUCAACGGUGGUUCAAUUGGAUUGUGGAGAACAGACAUUAAAUUUAGUCCAACCUCUGUAUUCUAGUAAUUUUAUGUAGAUAUUUUUAAAACUGCUCUUCUUAAUUAUGUGAACUGAGAGGGCAAGAAUAGCCUAAUUAUUUCUGCCUAUAAUUUUUUAAUUGUGCUUAGUGGAAAUAUACAUAUUUCCUUAACUUUUUUGUGUUUAUAGUAAAGGAUGGAUUCAUAAGUAUUUGAAAGCAAAAUUGUGAGGGUGUUUUAUUAAGAAAAUUUUUUAAUCUGUUGUGCUCAAUUUGUUCUGUAUCAUUUUAUCUUUAUGUUAACCCCGUUUCUAUGUUGUGUUGUUAUAUAUAUUAUUGUAUAUACUGCUGUUUUAAAUAAUAGAAUAGAAUGAAUAACAAAUCGACUAGUAAUUCAUAAUUCUUCUAGAUUUUGUUGGAUACUUACAUGAAUAUUACUUACAAAAUGAAAAACAUAAUUCAUAAUUUAGACAAAAUGCAGAUCAACCACCACUGAUUUUUGUUCAUUGUGAUAAUAAUAAUAAUAUAAAUAUAAAUAUUUAACUGGUCCCGUGAUAAGUACGUAAAGAAUUGUGUUACAGGUACCAGAUAACGGAAAUAAAUGUAGGAUUUUUAUUAUACACAUACAUAUAUUUAAUAUACAUCCAUAACCCUGGAAAAGACAUUUAUAUUUAUCAUACAAAUAUCUUCCCUUGGCGGCAUUCGAACCCGCGACCCCUUUGUGUAGCGACCAUGUCACUUACCACUACACCAGACGGCCGUUAGAUAAGUUUGAUAAUUAUUAUUUUUGUGUAAUUUUGUUUUAUUUGAAUAAUAAUUCUUAAAUUAGGAAA